GACGAACGCUGGCGGCGUGCCUAACACAUGCAAGUCGAGCGAAGAACUUCGGUUCUUAGCGGCGGACGGGUGAGUAACACGUGGGUAACCUGCCUCAAAGAGGGGGAUAGCCUCCCGAAAGGGAGAUUAAUACCGCAUAAUAUUAGAUCUUCACAUGGAGAUUUAAUUAAAGGAGUAAUACGCUUUGAGAUGGACCCGCGGCGCAUUAGCUAGUUGGUGAGGUAACGGCUCACCAAGGCGACGAUGCGUAGCCGACCUGAGAGGGUGAUCGGCCACAUUGGAACUGAUACACGGUCCAGACUCCUACGGGAGGCAGCAGUGGGGAAUAUUGCACAAUGGGCGAAAGCCUGAUGCAGCAACGCCGCGUGAGUGAUGAAGGCCUUCGGGUUGUAAAGCUCUGUCUUCAGGGACGAUAAUGACGGUACCUGAGGAGGAAGCCACGGCUAACUACGUGCCAGCCGCCGCCGUAACAC
rnacentral:rRNA from 1 species